rnacentral:rRNA from 1 species
AGUGAACGCUGGCGGCGUGCUUAACACAUGCAAGUCGAGCGAGAACGGAUUAUAGCUUGCUAUAAUUGUCAGCUAAGUGGCGCACGGGUGAGUAAUGUAUAGGUAAUAUGCCUCUUACUAAGGGACAACAAAUGGAAACGUUUGCUAAUACCUUAUACUCCUUAUUAACCUAAGUUAAUAAGGGAAAGAUUUAUUGGUAAGAGAUUAGCCUGUAUUGUAUCAGUUAGUUGGUGGGGUAAUGGCUUACCAAGACUAUGACACAUAACUGGUUUGAGAGGAUGAUCAGUCACACUGGAACUGAGACACGGUCCAGACUCCUACGGGAGGCAGCAGUGGGGAAUAUUGCACAAUGGACGAAAGUCUGAUGCAGCAACGCCGCGUGGAGGAUGACACAUUUCGGUGCGUAAACUCCUUUUAUAUGAGAAGAUAAUGACGGUAUUAUAUGAAUAAGCACCGGCUAACUCCGUGCCAGCCGCCGCCGUAA